GAUGAACGCUGGCGGCGUGCUUAACACAUGCAAGUCGAACGGGAAUUCCUUUAUUGAAACUUCGGUCGAUUUAAUUUAAUUCUAGUGGCGGACGGGUGAGUAACGCGUGGGUAACCUGCCUUAUACAGGGGGAUAACAGUCAGAAAUGGCUGCUAAUACCGCAUAAGCGCACAGAGCUGCAUGGCUCGGUGUGAAAAACUCCGGUGGUAUAAGAUGGACCCGCGUUGGAUUAGCUUGUUGGUGGGGUAACGGCCCACCAAGGCGACGAUCCAUAGCCGGCCUGAGAGGGUGAACGGCCACAUUGGGACUGAGACACGGCCCAGACUCCUACGGGAGGCAGCAGUGGGGAAUAUUGCACAAUGGGGGAAACCCUGAUGCAGCGACGCCGCGUGAAGGAAGAAGUAUCUCGGUAUGUAAACUUCUAUCAGCAGGGAAGAUAGUGACGGUACCUGACUAAGAAGCCCCGGCUAACUACGUG
rnacentral:rRNA from 1 species